GACGAACGGUGGCGGCGUGCUCAGCACAUGCAAGUCGAACGGUAAGGCCCUUCGGGGUACACGAGUGGCGAACGGGUGAGUAACACGUGGGUGAUCUGCCCUGCACUUCGGGAUAAGCCUGGGAAACUGGGUCUAAUACCGGAUAGGACUCCUGGCUUCAUGGUUGGGGGUGGAAAGCUUUUGCGGUGUGGGAUGGGCCCGCGGCCUAUCAGGUUGUUGGUGGGGUAAUGGCCUACCAAGGCGACGACGGGUAGCCGGCCUGAGAGGGUGACCGGUCACACUGGGACUGAGAUACGGCCCAGACUCCUACGGGAGGCAGCAGUGGGGAAUAUUGCACAAUGGGCGCAAGCCUGAUGCAGCGACGCCGCGUGAGGGAUGACGGCCUUCGGGUAGUAAACCUCUUUCAGCUAUGACGAAGCGCAAGUGACGGUAGUAGCAGAAGAAGGACCGGCCAACUACGUGCCAGCAGCCGCAGUAA
rnacentral:rRNA from 1 species